GACGGGAGCGGGGGAUUAGGGUUCGAUUCCGGAGAGGGAGCCUGAGAAAUAGCUACCACUUCUACGGAGGGCAGCAGGCGCGCAAAUUGCCCAAUGUCAAAAAAAACGAUGAGGCAGCGAAAAGAAAUAGGGCCUGCAGACGGUUUACCGUAUGUGGGAUACAAUGGGGGAUAUUUAAUGCCAUCCAAUAUCGAGUAUCAAUUGGAGGACAAGUCUGGUGCCAGCACCCGCGGUAAUUCCAGCUCCAAAAGCGUAUAUUAACGCUGCUGCUGUUAAAGGGUUCGUAGUUGAAUUGUGGCUUGCGAAUCCGCUGUCCUGUCCUCUUGAGGGCACCAGCGCUUGCAUGCCGUGAACAUUCGAAACACAAAACACGGGAAUGGUUCCAUUCCAACCUCACAUGUCAUGCAUGUGGAAUGGCGCCCGUGAUUUUUACUGUGACUAAAAAAGCGCGACCAAAGCAGUCGUUCGACCUGAAUUUUCAAGCAUGGGAUAACAAAGCUAACCUUCGGAUAUUUCCGUUUUCGGCUUUUGUUGGUUUUAACAGUCCGUAGGACAUUAUAAGCGAGUGUGACAGCCCUUUCGGGGGUUCCGGCUUGCCGGUUCAUUUCGCUUCAGAAUGAAAGAGGGUUGUCGGGGGAGAACGUACUGAGGCGUGAGAGGUGAAAUUCUUAGACCGCCUUAAGACGAACUACAGCG
rnacentral:rRNA from 1 species